rfam:Rattus norvegicus chromosome 20, whole genome shotgun sequence.
GGGGAUUUGGCUCAGUGGUAGAGUGCUUGCCUAGCAAGCGCAAGGCCCUGGGUUCAAUCCCUAGCUCCG